AUUGAACGCUGGCGGCAUGCCUUACACAUGCAAGUCGAACGGCAGCACGGGUGCCUGCACCUGGUGGCGAGUGGCGAACGGGUGAGUAAUACAUCGGAACAUGUCCUGUAGUGGGGGAUAGCCCGGCGAAAGCCGGAUUAAUACCGCAUACGAUCUACGGAUGAAAGCGGGGGACCUUCGGGCCUCGCGCUAUAGGGUUGGCCGAUGGCUGAUUAGCUAGUUGGUGGGGUAAAGGCCUACCAAGGCGACGAUCAGUAGCUGGUCUGAGGGGACGACCAGCCACACUGGGACUGAGACACGGCCCAGACUCCUACGGGAGGCAGCAGUGGGGAAUUUUGGACAAUGGGCGAAAGCCUGAUCCAGCAAUGCCGCGUGUGUGAAGAAGGCCUUCGGGUUGUAAAGCACUUUUGUCCGGAAAGAAAUCCUUGGCCCUAAUACGGUCGGGGGAUGACGGUACCGGAAGAAUAAGCACCGGCUAACUACGUG
rnacentral:rRNA from 1 species